GCCGACCGAAUGGCGUAGUGGUUAUAUAGUGACCCUGACUACUGAGCUGAAGGUCCCGGGUUCGAUUCCCGGCUGGGGCA
rnacentral:tRNA from 1 species